UUUCCGUAGGUGAACCUGCGGAAGGAUCAUUAAUGAGUUGUCAUGGGGUUCGAUGCUGGCAGCCAGUUUUUGGAUGCAUGUGCUUGCCCUAACAAUCAUCUUCUUCCAAACACCUGUGCACAUUUUUGAGGGAGUCUUGAGUUGGUUGCCGCUCUUGGGUGAUUUUCUCACAUUCCCUUAAAUCAUUAUACGCUAUUAACAAUGUUGAACGUGCUCUGUGCCGCAAGGCCAUUAAUAUAAUACAACUUUUAACAACGGAUCUCUUGGCUCUCGCAUCGAUAAAGAACGCAGC
rnacentral:misc_RNA from 1 species